UACGAAGGGGGCUAGCGUUGCUCGGAAUCACUGGGCGUAAAGCGCACGUAGGCGGAUUGCUAAGUCAGGGGUGAAAUCCUGGAGCUCAACUCCAGAACUGCCUUUGAUACUGGCGAUCUUGAGUCCGGGAGAGGUGAGUGGAACUGCGAGUGUAGAGGUGAAAUUCGUAGAUAUUCGCAAGAACACCAGUGGCGAAGGCGGCUCACUGGCCCGGUACUGGACGCUGAGGUGCGAAAGCGAUGGGGGAGC
rnacentral:rRNA from 1 species